rnacentral:rRNA from 1 species
UGGAUCCAGACUUUGAUCAUGGCUCAGGAUGAACGCUAGCUACAGGCUUAACACAUGCAAGUCGAGGGGCAGCGGGAUUGAAGCUUGCUUCAAUUGCCGGCGACCGGCGCACGGGUGAGUAACGCGUAUCCAACCUUCCGUACACUCAGGGAUAGCCUUUCGAAAGAAAGAUUAAUACCUGAUGGUAUGAUGAGAUUGCAUGAUAACAUCAUUAAAGAUUUAUCGGUGUACGAUGGGGAUGCGUUCCAUUAGGUAGUAGGCGGGGUAACGGCCCACCUAGCCAACGAUGGAUAGGGGUUCUGAGAGGAAGGUCCCCCACAUUGGAACUGAGACACGGUCCAAACUCCUACGGGAGGCAGCAGUGAGGAAUAUUGGUCAAUGGACGAGAGUCUGAACCAGCCAAGUAGCGUGAAGGAUGAAGGUCCUACGGAUUGUAAACUUCUUUUAUAAGGGAAUAAACCCUCCCACGUGUGGGAGCUUGUAUGUACCUUAUGAAUAAGCAUCGGCUAACUCCGUGCCAGCAGCCGCGGUAAUACGGAGGAUGCGAGCGUUAUCCGGAUUUAUUGGGUUUAAAGGGAGCGCAGACGGGUCGUUAAGUCAGCUGUGAAAGUUUGGGGCUCAACCUUAAAAUUGCAGUUGAUACUGGCGUCCUUGAGUGCGGUUGAGGUGUGCGGAAUUCGUGGUGUAGCGGUGAAAUGCUUAGAUAUCACGAAGAACUCCGAUUGCGAAGGCAGCACACUAAUCCGUAACUGACGUUCAUGCUCGAAAGUGUGGGUAUCAAACAGGAUUAGAUACCCUGGUAGUCCACACGGUAAACGAUGGAUACUCGCUGUUGGCGAUAUACUGUCAGCAGCUUAGCGAAAGCGUUAAGUAUCCCACCUGGGGAGUACGCCGGCAACGGUGCAACUCAAAUGAAUUGACGGA